UACGAAGGGGGCUAGCGUUGUUCGGAAUUACUGGGCGUAAAGCGCACGUAGGCGGACAUUUAAGUUGGAGGUGAAAGCCUUGGGCUCAACCCAAGAAUUGCCUUCGAUACUGGAUGUCUCGAGACCGGGAGAGGUGAGUGGAAUUCCGAGUGUAGAGGUGAAAUUCGUAGAUAUUCGGAAGAACACCAGUGGCGAAGGCGGCUCACUGGCCCGGUUCUGACGCUGAGGUGCGAAAGCGUGGGGAGCAAACAGG
rnacentral:rRNA from 1 species